UGCCAAAUUUCAGAUGUAGUGGCUUUCAAGAGAACAGCUUCUCUGUUUAUUCUCCUAUAUUUCAUUAGACCACAAUUCAGUGAAAGUGCAGGCUGGGCUGGCCGGCUCUUAGUGCAGAGACUCGAAUCAGGAAACCUAGCAUCAGCCUUUGCAAACAUUUAUCCACAGAGCGGUAAGCUCCAGCCCUAAAGGCAACACAUGCAACACAUUUACUGCUGGAGUGAAUAAGGGUUGGCAGAACUAGCUCAUUGCAUACUUUGGAAAGCAAGGAGAAUUUAAAGCCCAAAUCUUUGUUCAUGAAAGUUCUACAGUUGACUUUGGUGGAUUUUGGGUCAUGCUGUUGGACAUAGCCUGAGAUAUCUCAACGCUGUUUGCUGAAGAGGACAGAGCCAUUAUCCUCUCUUGGUAAUUCCACAUCCUUUCCUGGGUUGUGCGUUGCUUGAAGAUCCUCUUAUGGUACCCAGAAUAUUCUUAGUCAAAAUUAAGUUUUCACUUACUGGAAACACUGUGGUCUUGUAGAUGCUGAAGAAGAUCUUCUGAUAUUCUUAGGGAAUGAUAAAAGUUUCACUGAAGUUGCAUCUGGUUCUUGAAUAAACAAGAUACGGGAAGCUGCACGAAAAAAAAAGAGUUUUUGUCUUCUCUCUCUGUUUCAAGAAAGCAAUGAAAGCCAGUCUGCUUACAUCCCUGCUGGAUACUGGAUCUUGUGACCUCUGAAAGGUGGCAGCAAAAUGCCUCUGACUGAAGAGACCCUCAUGUAUGUUCUUUAGAGGUCCCCAUCUGCAAGUGCUAGAAGAGUUUGAAUAUGCCAUGUCCACUUUGAAGACAACAAAGAACUUUUCAUCCAAGAGAAGGUUCGGAACAUCUAGCCAUGAGACAAGGAAUCUUCUGGCUGGAGCUUUUUGUAAUCCAUGGGAUUAUUUUUUAUAUAAAAGGCAAGAGGUACCACUAGGAGCUGGCAUGGAUGUGGACUGCACAUAAAAAGAUCAGCAUCUGAUCAGCAUCAUAAAAUGGUAGCUGAUGAUUGGCAACAAACAAAAAACGGAGCUUCCCUGGAGGUGUACCAGUUCCAUGAGCCUCCUGCCAGCUGAGCAGCACUGAUGCCAACAGUGGAGAAUAACAUCUAGAAGAUCAAUGAGGAAGGAUAUUUUACAGAGGUGUUAAAGAAAAGGAUAUAAAAAGGACAAUGAAGGUAAAGAAGACAUCAAGACAAUUUGUACCAGAGGGGAAGCAUCAUGAGCAAUUCCAUGUGGACCAACUGUACACUCAAAGAAAUUAGGAAAUAAAAGAGAACUGAGAGUACUAGCCAUGAAACCAUGGAGUGGGAGGAGCAUUCAAUAAGAUGAAUGUGGAUAUGCCACACAACUCCAGUUCCAGAGACAUGGAUAGUUUUUGGAGUCUUCCUUCUCUGUGUGUAUGGCUGAAACUGCAAAAUACAAGAGACAAGAAACAGAGUUCAGUGAAGCAGUACUCAGCUUUGUGUGGUAAUAUGAGGGCCAUGCUGAAGCAAUGCAAACUGAAUACAGCAACUUUGGAGAUUAAUGUUCCUGGACCAGGAGGGACACCAGCAGUGUGUUACUAUCUGGCAGAUCUACAGCAUAGUACAUGGAGAUGCUACCAGCCCCACCCAAAAUUACCUGUUAUGUAACCAAGUGAGAUGCAUUAAGAUCAUCUCCAACAUCGCCAUCUCCUGACUUUGAAUGAUAGUGCAUGUUGCUUCUGUGACAACUGGUAUUCAAGAAAUGAAAAAAUGGCACUCAAGAUUUCUGUUCUGAAUUUAAAAAAAUAAUAAUAAUCAAUUUUGCACUGAAUUUUUCUUCUUUGUAUUCUGAAAUGUUUUGUAGCUGAUUAUCAAAUAAUUUAUCUUUGAUUUUGUAGUUAUUGUUUGCGUAAGACCCCAUUAACUCUUACAGGGUAGGUGGGCAACUGAAAACGUCAGCAUAUAUAGAAGAAAUUCAAGAACUUCAAGCACUGUAAGCUGUAGAGAGAGUUCCAAGUAACUCUUCAGCAACCUCUGCAAAGUUCCUCUCUUCUGGAAAAUGAAUACUAACCCAGGACAAGAGAAGACUGACGCCUGAUCAAGCCGUGGAAAUCUCCCUGAUGACUUCACUGGGCUCUUGCAUGUACAUAUAGAGCAGUCAUCUCCAUCCACUUACAGUCCUGCACUGAUGAUGUUCACUUGAACUGUGAAAUGGUUAGCAUUUAAAAGUUGUCCCUUCUACGUGAAUCCUGCUGUGCCUCACGUUUUAUAAUGCCGAGUGUUGUUAAAUGUUUGAGCAAUAUUGCAAUUGUUUCUAUUUGUUGAAUUUAUUUGAAAGCUAUUAUCUGUGACUUGUUAUUAUGCCAUGUGAAGAGAUUCCAACCCUUUUUUUUUCCCCUCUAAUCCGUACCACCAAUAAGAAAAGGAACAUAAAUAAAUAAAUACAUGUGGAAA
ensembl:lncRNA